rnacentral:rRNA from 2 species
UCGCAGGCGGUUUUUUAAGUCUGAUGUGAAAGCUUUCGUCUCAACUGAAGAAGUGCAUCGGAAGCUGGGAAACUUGAGUGCAGAAGAGCACAGUGGAACUCCAUGUGUAGCGCUGAAAUGCGUAGAUAUAUGGAAGAGCACCAGUGGCGAAGGCGUCUGUCUGGUCUGUAACUCACGCUGAGGCUCGAUAGUAUGGGUAGCAAACACGAUUAGAUACCCUGGUAGUCCAUGCUGUAAACGAUGAAUGCUAAGUGUUGGAGGGUUUCCGCCCUUCAGUGCUGCAGCUAACGCAUUAAGCAUUCCACCUGGGGAGUACGUCCGCAAGGCUGAAACUCAAAGGAAUUGUCGGGGGCCCGCACAAGCGGUGGAGCAUGUGGUUUAAUUCGAAGCUACGCGAAGAACCUUACCAGGUCUUGACAUACUAUGCAAAUCUAAGAGAUUAGACGUUCCCUUCGGGGACAUGGAUACAGGUGGUGCAUGGUUGUCGUCAGCUCGUGUCGUGAGAUGUUGGGUUAAGUCCCGCAACGAGCGCAACCCUUAUUAUCAGUUGCCAGCAUUAAGUUGGGCACUCUGGUGAGACUGCCGGUGACAAACCGGAGGAAGGUGGGGAUGACGUCAAAUCAUCAUGCCCCUUAUGACCUGGGCUACACACGUGCUACAAUGGAUGGUACAACGAGUUGCGAACUCGCGAGAGUAAGCUAAUCUCUUAAAGCCAUUCUCAGUUCGGAUUGUAGGCUGCAACUCGCCUACAUGAAGUCGGAAUCGCUAGUAAUCGCGGAUCAGCAUGCCGCGGUGAAUACGUUCCCGGGCCUUGUUCACGCCGCCCGUCACACCAUGAGAGUUUGUAACCCCCAAAGUCGGUGGGGUAACCUUUUAGGAACCAG